CAACUUUAUCUCAAAGUUCCUGGGUUUUUUUUUUGUUCUUGUUAAAUCUAAAAGAACAGUGCUUCUUUCGAAAGGGUUUAUGGAAUUUCCUACAAAACUCUCUCAUUUAGACAGAAUUUUGAUUUCUACUCUUGUGUAUUUUUAUUGCAGGCGUAAGACAGAGUAUGGAAGACGUGUAUUUUGGAUCUUAACUGUCCUCUUUUACAAGGAAUCUAAAAAUAAGUCUUUUCUUUUGGAGAAAAGCCAAACAAUUGCAUGUUUCCAUAUUUUAGAGAAAAUAAAUUGAUAAAUUACGUGAUCAUCCCAUCAUAGUGCCAUGCGUAGAAUUGUCAUGUAAAUGGCACGAGAUGGACAGACCAUGCAUGUUUCCAUGAAGCUAUUUAAUGCUGCUCCCAGUCUUCUGUCCAUACCAUUCCUUCCCUGCCCCUAGGAGUGGGGUUGAGGUCUGUGACAUGCAGACUGUAAGCACAGUCAGAACCUCUGCAGCUCUCAACCCAACAGAGGAGACUGUGGCUUCAACAUGCCAACCUGAGCAGGUCUCCUCUGCAUUACCUUCCUCCCAUUUCUCUUCCUGGGUCCUGAUGAGGUGAGCUGGAGGAACCAAUAGUCAGGAUGCCCUGGAAUUGAUGUUGCUCUGUUUUGUGCUCACAAAACAGCCAUGUAACACAUGAGCACCUGAGUUGAAGCCAUCCAGUCGCAAGUCAGCAGACAGCAGUUGAUGGAAUUCUCAGUAGAAAUUCAGUAAGGGUGCCCAAAUUUUAUUUUUUUUUUCACCUAUACUCUACCAAUAUAUGGUAUUUAGGAAAACUUCUUUUAUCCAAGCACAAAGAAAAGCACACACAUUUUUAUAAUCAUCUGCUUCAUCAGGGUAAAUAAAUAAUUUAACAAAUUUGAUCAGCAUCUCUAGUUUACCAGUACUUUAAUAUUAGUUUUCUUACAAAUUAAUGUAUUUUGCAAUAUUUCCAGAAAAUCACUGUGGGAGAAUAAUGUAAUAUACUUUAGGAUAUAUUUCCUGACCUUUUCUUAAAUGGCUUCAUGUGCUAUUCCCCCAAAUUCUGCUUUCUCUAUUUUCUUUUUUAUUUAACCUAUAAUUAUACUUUCUAGUAUAUUCUGAGUCUAUCUUCUAAGCCACCUUACAUUUUUCCUGGAACAAGGGAGGGAAUAAAUAGUUGCCUCCACUAAAUCAGGAAAAAAUAAAAAUAUCCCAGGGG
rnacentral:lncRNA from 10 species